UCCGUAGGCGGGCAAUUAAGUCAGAGGUGAAAUCCCACAGCUCAACUGUGGAACUGCCUUUGAUACUGGUUGUCUUGAGUUACAGUGAAGUAGAUAGAAUAUGUAGUGUAGCGGUGAAAUGCAUAGAUAUUACAUAGAAUACCGAUCGCGAAGGCAGUCUACUAACUGUAUACUGACGCUAAUGGACGAAAGCGUGGGGAGCGAACAGGAUUAGAUACCCUGGUAGUC
rnacentral:rRNA from 1 species